UUCCGUAGGUGAACCUGCGGAAGGAUCAUUAUCGAGUUCUGACUGGGUUGUAGCUGGCCUUCCGAGGCAUGUGCACGCCCUGCUCAUCCACUCUACACCUGUGCACUUACUGUGGGUUUACGGGUCGUGAAACGGGCUCGUUUAUUCGGGCUUGUUGAGCGCACUUGUUGCCUGCGUUUAUCACAAACUCUAUAAAGUAUCAUAAUGUGUAUUGCGAUGUAACGCAUCUAUAUACAACUUUCAGCAACGGAUCUCUUGGCUCUCGCAUCGAUGAAGAACGCAGCGAAAUGCGAUAAGUAAUGUGAUUGCAGAAUUCAGUGAAUCAUCGAAUCUUUGAACGCACCUUGCGCUCCUUGGUAUUCCGAGGAGCAUGCCUGUUUGAGUGUCAUGAAAUCUUCAAUCUACAAACUUCUUAUGGAGUUUGUAGGCUUGGACUUGGAGGCUUGUCGGUCCCUUUACAGGUCGGCUCCUCUUAAAUGCAUUAGCUUGGUUCCUUGCGGAUCGGCUUGUCGGUGUGAUAAUGUCUACGCCGCGACCGUGAAGCGUGUUUGGGCGAGCUUCUAACCGUCUCGUUACAGAGACAACUUUUAUGACCUCUGACCUCAAAUCAGGUAGGACUACCCGCUGAACUUA
rnacentral:rRNA from 1 species